UACGGAGGGUGCAAGCGUUUAAUCGGAAUUACUGGGCGUAAAGCGUGCGUAGGCGGUUCGUUAAGUCUGUUGUGAAAGCCCCGGGCUCAACCUGGGAAUGGCAAUGGAUACUGGCGAGCUAGAGUGUGUCAGAGGAUGGUGGAAUUCCCGGUGUAGCGGUGAAAUGCGUAGAGAUCGGGAGGAACACCAGUGGCGAAGGCGAUCAUCUGGGGGUUGUUCUGACGCUGAGGAGCGAAAGCUAGGGGAGCAAACGGG
rnacentral:rRNA from 1 species